rnacentral:rRNA from 1 species
UUGUCCUACGGGAGGCAGCAGUCGGGAAUAUUGCGCAAUGGAGGAAACUCUGACGCAGUGACGCCGCGUAUAGGAAGAAGGUUUUCGGAUUGUAAACUAUUGUCGUGAGGGAAGAAAUUGACAGUACCUCAGGAGGAAGCUCCGGCUAACUAUGUGCCAGCAGCCGCGGUAAUACAUAGGGAGCAAGCGUUAUCCGGAUUUAUUGGGUGUAAAGGGUGCGUAGACGGAGAAACAAGUUGGUUGUGAAAUCCCUCGGCUCAACUGAGGAACUGCAACCAAAACUAUUUCCCUUGAUUGUC